rnacentral:rRNA from 1 species
CCCUUAGAUGUUCGGGGCCGCACGCGCGCUACACUGAAUGAAUCAGCGAGUGUAUGUCCUAGGCCGAAAGGUCCGGGUAACCCGUUGAACCUCAUUCGUGAUUGGGAUAGGGACUUGCAAUUGUUUCCCUUGAACGAGGAAUUCCCAGUAAGCGCAAGUCAUCAGCUUGCGUUGAUUACGUCCCUGCCCUUUGUACACACCGCCCGUCGCACCUACCGAUUGAAUGGUUCGGUGAAGAUCUCGGACUUCGAUAUUUAUUCUUUAUUGAGUUUAUAUUGUGGGAAGUUAUCUAAACCUCAUCAUUUAGAGGAAGGUGAAGUCGUAACA